AGGGUCGAAUCUAUCAUAUAAUGAAAACCCUAGCUUUAAAAUGUACAUUCAAACUAGUUUUUUCACUACUAUGACUCAACCCACAAGUAUGAAGAGCAUACAAAAUGCAUUUGCUGAAAUAACUCAGUCCGCUUGAAUUGUUUUUGAGUAAUGAAGUUGCUAUGAAUGUGUUCCUAAGGUCGAUUAAACAGAAUAAACUCAAACAGUUUGAAUCCUUUCUAGGAAUUAGUUUUGAUUAGAAAUAUCAUUUUACUAAAUAACUGAAAAGACUCAAACAGAUUGGGUCGUUUCGGUGAUACAGGUUUACUGACAUAAAAUAUAUAUUUUUGUUUAUCAGAAACGACUCAAAACACUUGAGAUAUUACAGAAAAAGAGCUUUGAUGAACAGCGCAUUUAAUAUCAAAUAAUUUAGAAAUGACUCAAGCAGAAUAAGUCGUUAGUAAGAAAUAGAUGUUAGACUGAUAGUCAUAUACAUUUGAUUGAAUUGAAACGACUUAAAACAUUUGUGUAUAAAGUUUAUGUAAUAAUAAAUCAAUUUCUAUUUUAUUUAGAAGGACUCAAACUACCUAUUUCCCUUUUGUGAAUCAGGCCAAGUAGUGUAAUGAGUUCGGAAACUAUGGUCUGAAAUAAAAUUAUUUAGUUAUGCGUUGUUUUGAUGUCUUAAAAAUAAGAGUAAACACAACUUUCCAAAGAUUUUUAUAGUGGCAACAUUUUGUUGGUAAAUUAUUAUUCUCAAAAACUGGCAACUCUGUCAUUUUAUCUCACCUUGGGCUGGUGGACGCGUGUUUUGUUUUAUUUCAUUUUAAGUAUAUGAAACAAAAGAAGUGAAUUAAAAUGCGACGAAUUGAUCGAAUUUUGUUUAGUGCCUUGGGACAUAUUAAGAUUAACGAAAGUACUGAGUUUUUAGAUGAAAGUGGCUUGGAAGAAAUUUCUGCAGCGGAGACUGUGCUGGAAUCUGUAAACGAUGACGUAGUUCCAACAGCUGUAAACUGACGUGACGAUGAAUCAACAUACUGAGUAAAUUUAGUUACCUACCUAUCUGGGUAUUUCCGUCAAUACUAUUUACAAUCUACCUGCGUAAGAAUUGCUAGUGUCCUAUUUGUAUUGUCUGUUGCACUCUUAGUGAGCUUAAUGCACCUUUUUGCUGUGGUUUGCGGUAUGAUAUAUGAUAUGAUAUGAUAACAUAUUAUUUUAUUACUUUUUAAUGAUUAAAAAAAAUCAGAAUUAAUAUAGCAUGAUCCAACUGUAAG